rnacentral:rRNA from 1 species
AGAGUUUGAUCGUGGCUCAGAAUCAACGCUGGCGGCGUGCCUAACACAUGCAAGUCGAACGCGGUUUUCCCGCAAGGGAAAACUGAGUGGCGAACGGGUGAGUAACACGUGGGUGACCUACCUUCGAGUGGGGGAUAACGUCCCGAAAGGGACGCUAAUACCGCAUAACAUCCUGCUCUUGAACGAGCGGAGAUCAAAGCCGGGGAUCGCAAGACCUGGCGCUUGAUGAGGGGCCCGCGUCCGAUUAGCUAGUUGGUGAGGUAAUGGCUCACCAAGGCAACGAUCGGUAGCCGGCCUGAGAGGGCGGACGGCCACACUGGGACUGAGACACGGCCCAGACUCCUACGGGAGGCAGCAGUGGGAAUUGUUCGCAAUGGGCGCAAGCCUGACGACGCAACGCCGCGUGGAGGAUGAAGGUCUUCGGAUUGUAAACUCCUGUUGCCAGGGACGAAUGGCCACG